AGCGGAGAUGGUGGUCCGGAAGAAGGGAGGUAUUUAGCCAGGGCCGACUCCUUUGCCCUUUUCCAUCCCCAACCUCAGCGCCGCCCCGGGCUGGCACCCGAAAGGGUUCGUUUUGCGGGAAAAGGAGGCACCCAACAUCUGGUUGUCCCACUUCUGUGAGGCUGAAGUUGAUCACUGGUGAGGCUGUGACAGCCAGAUCUCUGCGUUGUAAAGGUGAAUUCCCAGUGUCUGGCAGUGCAUGGUAUAAAGAAGACAUUCACAAUCUGUUGAAGGAAUGAAUGGAUGGAUCCGCUGGAGAGUCCCAACCUCAAACCUACUCCGUUCUGACAGAGAACAGUGAAGGGCCUGCCUAACAUUGCAGAAGACUGAGCCUAAUUCCAGGCAAGUUCUUCCCCAAGUCCCACAGGAGGGCUGGGGAGUGGGCACCUUUGGGAGGUCCUAUUAUCAGGGUAGAGAAAGACCUGGAGGGACGAACCCUAGCUCCUGCCCCGCCCUACCCCAUCCUGCUGGGGAGAGCGGCGGAAGGGAGCUUUUCUCUACUAGACCCUCGGGCUUCACGACUGCACACAAGGUGUCUGUUGAGGGAACCCGGCAGACUCCCUAUCUCUUCGCUCACAGCGCCCCACCCUUCCCGCAGCGGUAGCGGUGAGAUCUGGGGGCUCCUGCCCUACCCGCCCCCAGCACCCCGGCCUCGCAUCACCCCUCACGCCUCACCAUUGCGCCGGGACGCCCGGGUCCAGCCCUUCCUUUCCGGUCGGGCCCGGUCAGCUGACGUGGUGGUCACGUGGCCAGGGGCGGGGCUCCCUCGGGGGCGGGGCCUCUGCGGGGGCGGGCCGUCCUGCCCCGAGAUGCCCGGCGCGUAACACGGGGCCCCCUUCUCAGUCUCCGGAAGCCUUCCCCGCGGGGGCCCAGCGCCAACCCGCAGGUUAACCGAGGACAGGCCCUAAGCGGUAGGAACAGGGAGGGGAAACCGUUUAAUUUGUUCACCUUAAGGGAGCGGGAGCCCAGGCCUGGGUCUGGUGCUUAGUGUCUUACUCCUUGUGCGGGAGUAUUCAGGUCGUUUCCACGGUUUGCGUCAGUAAGCAAUGCCUUUACACAUAGCUGUGGGCUGUGGCAAAAGACGUAUUGGUUUUUUUAGGCGGAGGUAAUUUGGUUUGCUUAUUUAUUUAUUUUUAGAGGAAGUACUGGGGAUUGAGCCCAGGACCCUGUGCAAGCUAAGCAUGCACUCUACCACUUGAGCCACACACUCCCCCCCCCCGUAUUUUUUAAAACUUUGUUGGAAUAUAAUAUACAUACAAGAAAUUGCAUAUAGUGUAAGUACAAAGUUUAAUGAACUUCCAUGAACUGUACACUGCAUGUAAUCAGCACCCAAAUAAGGAAACAUUACCGGUACCCCAGAUACCUCCUUCAGGUGCUGGGGUAUUUUAUUUCGUUUUGAGGAGUCCCCUUAGUUGCCUAGCAAAAAGGCCUGCAACAGUUGACAUGCUCAGGUGAACUCUUUUGUGGCUUUACCAACAUCAGAUGUUUAUUUUAAUUUUUCUCAAUUUAGUGGGAGUAAAAUAGGUGGCUUUAAACUGCUUCGGUCUGCUUACUGGCGAGUUUGAGCUAAUGGAUGGUCGAGGAAAACUAAGUUUCCGAUGUCCACUUGAAGAGAGAAAAAUAAAAAAAACCAAACAGCAACAAUAAAAAUACACUAGAGAAUAGACUAAUAACCAAAGAAGAAACUGAGCAGUUUGAAAUCUCUUCAGUUCCAUGCCCCCACCCGUAGGCUAGGCUCAGCUGGCUUUAUUGUUGAAGGCUUUUAAAGUUUUAAAGGACAGACAGAACCCAUGACAAUUAAACAGCUCCCUAGAGGUGGAAAGCUUCCCCAGUCUGAUAGAAUGAUCUCACUUAUGAAGAGCUUUUUAAAAAAUCAUAAUCACGUUGAAGUCAACAGCGUGUUAAAAUACACCAUGUCAAAGAAAAACUUAGAGUAUAGGAAUUGUUCAGCUUACAUUUCAUCAUCUCAAUAGGUGAGAAGAAAACAAGUGAUAAAUUUGCGAAACCAUUUCUUAUCAAAAAGGAGAAAAAAGAAAAAAUUAGGAAUAGAUGAAAACUGCCUUAAGUUGAUAGAGUAUUUGGAAAACAAAACAAGAGAUAUCAAACUGACAAAUUUAAAUUUGGAAAUAAGGCCAAAAGGUGGGUGGCUUAUCCUUUUAAUGUCAUACUGGAGCAUUGUCUCAGAUUUGUUUCACAAAUAAAGAUUAUUUGACUAUUUAGAGCAGUGGUUCUCAAACUUUAGAGGGUAUCAGAAUCACCUGCAGGGCUCGUUAAAACAAUGAUGGGCUCCACCCCCAGGGUUUCUAGUUGACGAGGUCUGGGGUGGGAGCUGAAAAAUUGCAUUCCUAACAAGUUCCCAGGUAUGCUGGUAUUUUCAGUUUGGGGACUUUACUUUGAAAAUCACUAAGGUAGGAAAAUGUACCUGAGAAAUUGUAUGUUAACUUACAGACUUCUGCCCAGUAAAAAAGUUAACCCCAAAGAUUUCAGUUUUAUUGUCCCAUAGGACAUUGUUACGUUUUGUCUUUAACUCAGCACACACUUCAUAAUGCCUUUCCCAAAGCGCUAGAAAUACUUCUCAAAAUGUUCCUUGAACUAACUUUACCAUCUUACUGAUUAAUUAAAUAUCUGAAUGAAA